rnacentral:lncRNA from 1 species
AACACCUAUGUUGAUUGUUUGGUGCAUAAGAAUUGAGAUGAUGGAAAGAGGUCACUGUGAGCUUCAGGAAUAGCUUGAGGCUAACUGAUAAAACAGAGUGGAUUGACAAUUAUUCUCUGGACUUUUUGGUAACCAAGAACUUCUAGCAACUAACCCUGGCAUGACCACCAGAAUCUGCAGGGCUGAGAGAAGAAAGAAAGGCAAAAGUGGAUGAAUGCAGCUGAAGAUGCUGUGGAACUCCUAUCACAUUCCAAGUGCUGUGUUGAUAUCUGGAGAUAUAGACAAGAUCGAAGCAGAUGCAGUCUUUCACAUGAAUAUUUGAAUCAGGCAGAUGCAGGUGAUGGGUAUUGGCCUCAGCUUUAGAGACCAGAGGUUAAAUCUCAGUGCUGCCUGCCACAAAACGAUCCAUGUAAGUCAAUAAACAAUGCUUUUUAAAAUAUUAUUAUAAAGAUAUAGUGUGUGGAUCCCUCUCAAUUGUCCAUUCUUCCCUGUCACAAAAAUUUGCCUGCUUUUCGUUACCAUGUGAGAGGCAAAUGAAUUGAACUAAAUGGUUUCUAAUGCCCUGUCCACCUCUAAAAUUCUAUAGAACUGUGAUUUGAUUCCAAUGGGCCAUAUCAGGACUCGGCAUUAUUUUCAUCAGUGAACCAUUUCAUUAGAAAUUUAUUUUUCCAAAUGAUAUUAGUAAAUAUUGAAGGAGGCUUCUCCCACAGAGCUUCUUGUACAAAUUAAAACAGGGCAGUAGAAGGUUUUCAGGUUGGUGAAGUCAACUCUGGCUUUUAGUCAACCAUUCCAAAAAAACAUUUUCUUUAGAAUCCAAGGGCUUGCAAUUGUUCUGAAUAAAGCAUAAAGAAGCUGUUCUGAUUUAUUAAAUAAAAAGAGUACCA